CCCAGCCACUCCUCCUGUACUCAGGCCCCAGCUCCUCUGUUCUGCCCAGUGGCCUGGCGCAGGAAAGGUGACCCAGUAGUUCAGCCUGUCCCAGCUGCCUGCCCCAGCACCAUCCCAGACCCCUUUCCCUGGGGCCCACCUUGGCCCUGAGGAAGGCCAGAGCUCGGCUGCUGUUCUCCAGGAAGUGCACACGCAGGCGGCCCCGGCUCGGGGGUGGCAGGGCCUCCCCUGAGAUGAGCUCCAGCAGCCGCAGGAGGUGGAUGCCGUCAGCCAGCUCUGUGUACAGGUUCCGGAUCUUGAUGCCCGCCUGGGGAGGGGACAGGGGUAAGUAUGGGGUCAGCCCAGCCUCACCUGUCCUCCCAUCCUGGGACCUGAGAGGUACGACCCAGAGCAGCUGCUUUGGAAGAAGGAGCUCUGGCCUCAGCUUGGCCUCAGGCAGAUGACCCCACAGCUCACCCCGGAGGCCCACUGGCCAGAGCUGGGGGCCUGGUAUGGGUGGGCUGUGGGUCACAGCUGGCUAUACUCACCUGGCCGCACUGGAAGACGUUAUUGAUCCACUUGGUGAAAGUCUUCUCCUGCAUCUGCAUGUGCCGGGCCUGUAGCUUGCGAAUGUGGCCCGUCUCGUACUGAGAGUCCAUGGUGAGACUUGGACUGGGCGGGACCCGGAGUUCUGUGCUGGGCCUCCUGCUGCGGUGCCCUGCAGCCCCGAGGAGCUCCCGGGGACUGUGGGGCUGACCAGCCAUCAGCCCUGCAGACUUUGGGGAUGAGGAGCUGCUGGAUGGCUCCCUAAACCUGGAGGGCAUGCAGAUUAGGGGAUGAUGUGAAUGGAGAUGGCCCCUCUACCAGGGGCCUGGGGUCCCGCCUUGCCAGACUGUCCUCACAUUUCAUGGGGGUUGCAGCUUGGAGCCCAGCCAGGUAAGGGCCAGUGCUUCUGGUCCCCUGUGCUUGAAUGGCCCAGGGCCCCCUUUGCCCCACCCCACCUUCCAGAUUCUUCUUCUCAGAGCCCCUGCUGCCAGGUCCCUCCACCACAGUGACUGGGACAGGUGGAAGGAAGACAGGAAACUGCUUACCUUGGUGAUGCCUGGGUCCCACAGAGACGGCUCUGCUGGACGGAUGGAGAUGGUAGAUAGCAGGGGCUGCUUACCUUGGUGAUGCCUGGGUUCCACAGAGGCGGCCCAGCUGGACGGAUGGAGAUGGCAGAUAGCAGGGGCUGUGGAGGGAGGGAGAGGGACAUCAGGAGAGGCCAAGGCUGGAGCAGGGCUGCACCACAGCCCUCCCCUUGAGCCAGCGUGCUGGGGUGACGGCACACAGGCGGCAUUGUCCUCCCACCUGCCACAGGGCGUGGCCCAGACAGGGAGGGGGUGGUUCAGGAAUGCUCCAGGGCCAUUGCCAGAUGAUGUCCUCCUUCAUCAUCCUCCCUUCCCCGCCAGCAACUUCUCCAACUCCAGGUGGGGGUCCUGGCUCCCAGGACGCAGAGGCCCAUGGAGCGGCCCUGCCACCGCAUGGGGUGCUGCAGUCUGCGUAGGAGGUACCAAAGGGCAGAGCCUCUGUGGGAAGCCUGUGGACGCACUUCCCAAUCUGAGACUGCCCUCUGUACCCUCUUGGGGCCUCUCUGUGAGCACCCAGGGCGAGGGGAUGAGGGAGCGUCCUGGGCCGUGGUCUUCUCAUUCACCCCCAGGGAACAGCCCAUAGACUGAGGGCCUCACAGACCCUGGGCUUGGCUUUCCAGGCCCUGCCAGAGUGCAGCCUGCCUAGCCCGGGGCUGAAGGGUAGGCUCCCUGGAGGAAGGGGUGACCUGGAACUGCGAGGGCUGUGGAGUCUCCUCCAAAAUUAGAGACACGGUGUUAACUCUGGGCUCCACAGAGCUGGCCGUGGCCCGGGGCUCGGAGGCAGGGGUGCAGAGGGAGCUGGUGGGCGCCCAUCCCUUCCUCCCCGAGCAGCCGUGGACUACAUGCCAGAGUGAAGGCGAGUUCUAAUUCUGGGGGUCUCACCCGCCUCUGGCUAAACUCAGGGUAGCAGUGUGGGCUGGGGUGUGUGUGUGUGGGUGUCUUCCAGCGGCCCUGGAGCCUCUGAAGCGACAGCCCGCUCCUCAGGGAGGCGCUCCUGGCAGCCACAGCCCACAGCAGGACAGCCGCUCAGCGCGCCCUUGAGAGCUGGGCUAGGGAUGAGUCACACUUGAACCGCCUGGGCCCACUGCAGGCAGUCAGGGGUGACGCUGAGAGGUGCCGUGGUCUCGGGUGGGGUGCGGCUUCCUGCGUCUGAGAGACGCUUCCUCUCCUGCUGUCCUCUCCCUGCCAGGCCCCUUCUGCAGCGGCUGGCUUCCAGACACCCUGCGUCCCUCCCUUGCUCGCAGCAGUUGCUGUGGCGGUCCUCCCGUGCACCCCCCCUUCUGCCCUCACUGCCCCUGGGGGUCCUCAUCACGGACCCCCUAACUCGGCAUCCUGGACACCACCACCCCGCACCUUUCCACAGUGCAGCUCUGCUCGUGCCUGUGAAGCCUCCCACAGCCUGGGAAGGAAAAUCCAGACUUGCCAGACCUUGCCUCAGCCAGGCCUUGGAAGCCUGCCAGCUUACCUAACCAGACCCUCAGCCCAUGGAGUCCUGUGUGAUGUUGUGAGCGUGGGAGGACAGACUGAACUGCUCGGCCCGUGGAGUCCUGUGUGAUGUUGUGAGCGGGGAGGACAGACUGAACUGCGUGGUGCUUCGCACAUAGACCUCAACAGGGAUUGGCAUUUUGAAGCUGUUGGCGGGGGCUGUGGACUGCUUUUCUUCCUUUCUAGCUCAACGGCAGCUAAAGCCACUGCAUACAAUGCAAGGACUGGCUCCUGUUUGGCCACGACUGAUUGCAGCCCCUGGUGAAAUGAGAACCCUGUGGGUCGGAACAAAGUUUGGAUUAUUUAUGUUGCAAGUAACUAAAAUCUCAAGUGAAACUGGUUUAAACAUUAUAUUUUUAUUAUUUAUUUAUUUAUAUUUAAUUCUUUUUUAGAGACAGGGUCUUCUUAGGUUGCCCAGGCUGGUCUUGAACUCCUGGCCUCAACGAUCUUCCCACUUCAGCCUCCUGCAUUGCUGGGAUUAUAGGUGUGAGCCACCAUGCCUGGCUUACACAGUAUAAAGGGAAUGCAUUGGCCCACACAGUGGAAAAAAAUAUCUAGUAGGAAUAGGAAGGACUUCAGGUGAGGUUUGAUCCAGCAGCUCAAAUGUUGUCACCACAGGCCUGGAUUCCUCUGGCCUUUCUCAAGGUCUCUUUCAUUUUCAUGCUCCACAAGAUGGCUUCUGCCAGGCUGACCUCCCUCCCCUGACCCCAGCAGCUCUGGACACCCCUCUCAGUGCCAUUUAUAUUGUUGCAUCAAUAGGCUCAUUUCUAUAUACUGCAAGGUUCAGAGAAGACAGAGUAUCUCUCUCAAGAGUUCUAACAUAAGUCUGGGGGUCCUGGCUCUCAUAGGCUUGAACAGGGCCACAUGUCCAUUCCUGAGCCAAUAUUUGUGACCAAGGGGAUGUGGUCAAUCUCAUCCAAACCUCACUUGAAGUGAGGGUGGGAGGAGGAGUGCUCUGCAAGGAGACUGUAGGUCUGGACCACCAAAAAGGUAGAUGGGUUGGUGGGAAAAGCCAGAUGCCUACUAUGGUAGUGGGCGGGGGGAGGGCACACUGGCAAGGUACAGCAAGAGGCAGGGGCAGUGCUGGACAGGCAGGGGCUCCUCCCUAGCACGACUGGAGAAAGGACUCCUGUGAAGCGGUCACCUCCAUGAGUCCCUCCUGUCCUGGCUUCCAACCACUCUGAAGUGGGGCUUUUGUCCACAGACCUGGCCUCUGCUGCCUACCCUCUUCUGUCCCCACCUGAUGGGGCCGCUUUCCUUCUGAAGCGGCUGCAUUUUGGGUUUCUCUCCACAGGAAGAGUUGGGGCUCACAGGCACACCCUCUCCCUAACUCUUCUCCCCCGGUUCAACCUGGAUCCAGGGAUCCACACUCUGCUCCGAGAGGCCAGCACGCAGCCACUGGAAAAUGAGCCAGUGGGAGAGGGCAGCUCCAUGUUUAUUGAUCAGCAGACUAUGUCUUUUUGUUUGAAACUUCUAAAUAAGAUUACAAAAAGAAAAAAAAUAGAAGCAUUGCGUAUUAACUGCAUUGGUUAACCAACAUUGGAACCCAAUACUCUUGUAUUAGGCCCGCAUUUACCUGAGUAAACUCAGUGGUUUUCUGUCCUAAGCAUGCUUGCCUGCUACAUCCCAUGGAGAAAAUAAACAGUGAAACACUUUCCUCAUCUUCAAGGCAAUUGUCUCAGGCAUCCUCCAGGCAUCAUGAAGGAGGGUGAGCGAGGGUGCGAGGUGGAAAGGUCCAGGCCGCGGCUGUGACUCCCGCGGGUGAACCACAGCUCCACAGCCCCAAAUCCAAAGAUGCUCUUGCUGCAGCACGACAAGUGUUCAAAAGAGAACCAGGCCCAGCCCGGAGAAAGGAAAGCCAAAAGCCAACUGAAUGAAUGACCCUCCCCCAGAAGAGCAACCCUGCCCCCAGGCCAUCCAAGUGCGGUGAGUUGAGAAAUGAAUUGACAGACGCUGCAGGGCUGGAGCAGGAGGCGGAAGCAGGUUGGAAGGCUGUUGUGUGCCACCCCUCCCUGGGAGCUGGGGAGAUUCCCAAGUCUUAGUGCAGUGUUUCUCUACAAACGGGGUCAGGAGACCCUCACUGGCAGGCUGACAACUUGGAAGCAGACUGUGGGAGCAAUAGGCUGGAGUUUUCAUUUUCCCUUUAAACUCAAGACCGGAAGGUUUGUGUUAUGCGAUACCAUAUGCUGUGUAGAAAACAGGGCCUCAGCUUCUUAGAUGUUGUAGUUCUAGAGUUUAGGUACUUCCACCCUCUCUCCUAUACAUAAACACUCUGUGGAAGAGGUUCUUUGAAAAUUGGGGUGGUGCAGGAAGGGCAACGGUGAUGGUGAGCAGGCCCCAGGGUCGGCCCUGCCGCCCUGCCGUGUGGGGUAGGGAGACAGCUGGUGGUGUGGACACAUUCACAGAACUUUGUACUGGUCCUGGGAAGAUACAAGUCCUCACUUGGUCGCCAUCCCUCAUAUUUUCUAGUGUUUUCUUUUCCAGUCAACUUUUCUUGAUGAAUGACUGCAUGUAAGAGGAUAUUAAGAAAAGUGGCCAAAUGAUUUCCUUUUUUUUUCCUUUCUCUCCAAGAACAUUACCAGGUGCCAGCAGGGAAAGGACUCCGCUGCCUGACGCCUCUCCCACCUGAGAGCGCAGAGGUAGGGAGAUCACAGUGCCUGAGAGGUUUUCCUCCACGGAGAAAUCAGAGACCUCAACCUGCUGCCCUCUAAAGCAGCUUUCUGUAUCCAGACAAAACUUACAUAUGUACACGUUGUUUUAAAACGACAUACUCAUGUGACACACAUGUAUAUAAAUUCAUGUUUAUAUAUGACAAUUGAGGAGAGUUAAAGAACAAGAUAAUUCUGGAUGGAAAAAUCAGUUUGCCUGGGCAUCUGUAAACCUUUGGGCAAGUGAAUUCCCUCUUCUCUCUCAGUUCACCCUUUGGUGACCUCCACCGUGGCUGCAGACUUCAGGUGGUCCUCACGCAUUCACAGAACUGUCUGCUUAGGUUACAGCACUUUGGGAGGCCGAGGUGGGUAGAUCACGAGGUCAGGAGAUCGAGACCAUAUUGACCAACAUGGUAAAACCCCAUCUCUACUAAAAUACAAAAAUUAGCCGGGCGUGGUGGCGGGUGCCUGUAGUCCCAGCUACUUGGGAGGCUGAGGCAGGGGAAUCACUUGAACCUGGGAGGCGGAGGUUGCAGUGAACUGAGAUUGCGCCACUGCACUCCAGCCUGGGUGACAGAGAC
rnacentral:lncRNA from 10 species